rnacentral:lncRNA from 1 species
UUCAAGUAAUUAUAAUUAGACUACAUGAUAAAGAUUCUGCUAAUUAUAUUUUAAUUUCAAAACAUCACGUCAUUAGACUACAUGAUAGAGGAUCCGCUAAUCAAAUGCCAUGUAAAUAUAUGAUUUCCCAUCCUACAGAUGUUGUGAACUAGACACUUGAAGAAAUGAAAACUUAAUGAGCCAAUUAAUUAAUCAAUUAGGAGUCUGGAUAUAGUUGGGAAAAUAAUUAUGCGUAAAUAUAACACUACUAUAAAAAGAUCACAUUACUGAAAAUAAAAUCAAAAACAAAAGUAUCACGUUAUUGGACGGUACUACUACGGUAGUCAUCACGUGUAAAAAAUGUCAAUUACGUGGAAAUGUACCAACUUGGUUAUCCAAUCAGAAAAAAAUAGAAAACGAUAUUAUUAAAUAUAAAUCACGCAACCAAU